CAUCUGAAAGGCGGGAUAGACGCUAUUCCCAUCGCUCGCGAGAGGAGCAAAACACUGCAGAUCCCCGUUCGGCUCUUUGGCGCCGCGCCAGGGAACUGCGGAACUCCCCGCCUCAUGAGAUCCAGCGGGAGCUUUUGCUCUGCUAUUCUCAGCGCCUGCUAAGGAGCUCGUUGCUUAAGCAAACCUACCCAGAUGCUUAGAAAGUCGAGGCAAUGCGAAUCUGUUUCAGUAUUUUGACUUUCGUGCUUGCCUUGCUUGCUGAGUUUCGUUGCGGGGAUUGUUGAUUCAAUGGAGAGCGGAUGAAGCCCGGAUUCUGCGUGUGUCCAUCAGCUCCUUCCUGGAGCAUCUCUGCUUGGUGGUGGAAACUAUGGACCUGUUUGGGCCUCCUGUGGCUUGACAGAUGGUUGCAACAGGAAGCUUCCCCAUAGUCUUGGCUGGACUCUGGACUUGCCCAUGGGCUACUGAUGUCAGAGGAGGCCCUGAACAUGCCAUCCUUAGAGCCAAGAUGUUGCUUUGUGUUCUGGAGCCAGCGGGGAACUCUUUGCUUUUGGAUACUCUUGGACAUUGAUAGAUUUUUUGUGCUGAGAAGCAGGCAAGCCUGGGACUGCCUUGAUAUAAGACAAAGUACAUAGAAUCUGGUGCUUUAAUAAACUAUCCAGUGUGCUUUACAUUUUAGUCUGUAUGUGUUAACUGAUUAAAUAUAUUUGAGCCGGCUCA